rnacentral:misc_RNA from 1 species
GAUGAAGAACGUAGCGAAAUGCGAUAAGUAAUGUGAAUUGCAGAAUUCAGUGAAUCAUCGAAUCUUUGAACGCACAUUGCGCCCGGGAGCAUUCUCCCGGGCAUGCCUGUUCGAGCGUCAUUUCAACCCUCGAUUUCCCUUUGGGGAAGUCGGCCGUUGGAGAUCGGCAGCACUGCCGGCUCCCAAAUACAGUGGCGACCCGCCGCGGGGACCCCUGCGUAGUAACUUACACUCGCACCGGAAACCAGACGUGUCACGCCGUAAAACCCCCAACUUUCUGAACGUUGACCUCGGAUCAGGUAGGAAUACCCGCUGAACUUAAGCAUAUCAAUAAGCGGGGA